rnacentral:rRNA from 1 species
GAGUUUGAUCCUGGCUCAGAUUGAACGCUGGCGGCAUGCCUAACACAUGCAAGUCGAACGGGAGUAGCAAUACUCUAGUGGCGGACGGGUGAGGAAUACGUAGGAAUUUGCCCUUAAGUGGGGGAUAACCCGGGGAAACCCGGAUUAAUACCGCAUGAUCUCGAAAGAGCAAAGUGGGGGAUCGCAAGACCUCACGCUUUUGGAGAAGCCUACGUCGGAUUAGCUAGUUGGUGAGGUAAUGGCUCACCAAGGCGACGAUCCGUAACUGGUCUGAGAGGAUGAUCAGUCACACCGGAACUGAGACACGGUCCGGACUCCUACGGGAGGCAGCAGUGGGGAAUAUUGGACAAUGGGCGCAAGCCUGAUCCAGCAAUGCCGCGUGUGUGAAGAAGGCCUUCGGGUUGUAAAGCACUUUAAGUUGGGAAGAAAAAAUUCCACCUAAUACGUGGAGUCUUGACGGUACCGACAGAAUAAGCACCGGCUAACUCUGUGCCAGCAGCCGCGGUAAUACG